rnacentral:rRNA from 1 species
AAGUCUGACGCAGCCACGCCGCGUGAGUGAAGAAGGCCUUCGGGUUGUAAAGCUCUGUCGGAAGGGACAAAAACACAGACGGUUAAUAGUCGUUUGUACUGAUGGUACCUUCGAAGGAAGCACCGGCUAACUUCGUGCCAGCACCGCGGUAAU